AUUGCAGAAACUGGUGUGAGCUAAUGAGAGAGGUUCUUGUCGGUGCUGAGCCCAGCCUGCAGUAAUCACAAGUGGAAUGCUGUCGGUCCAUCGGAGGUGGGACAAUGUGGAAGAGCAAGCAACAGGCACUUCGGUAAAUGCAGGUGCGUCAUCUGGAGGAUCGGAGAAAUUCAAGGGAAUUGGAGAAGUGAAUUUGCUGCAGGAAAAUUGGGUUCCAAGUGCAAGGGGGGAACAAAUGUCUGCUGCAUCCAUGAGCUCUAGCUUUUUAUGCUGCUACCGAGGUGUUUCUGUCUGAUGUGCCCAAAUGAAGAGGUACUACAGUAGAUGGACACGGUUGUCCAUGAAGGACCAGGAAGAGGAUACAACCUCCCCUCCGACCAAGACUAGGCCUAUCCAUCGCCGAAACCACCAAAGUUGUGACACUUGCUAUGAGGAUGGUGAAAACCAGAGGGCUGCAGCCAGUUUGCCAGCGGGGAAAAUUCCAGCUUGGUCUCAAAUACGCCGCAGUUUGGAAUUAUACAAUAUCAGAAAGUUGCUCCCUGAAGUCAAAUAGGAUUUGUGGGUGCCUAGCAUUACCAACAACGGGAUUUCAGCGGCUGCAGAGUUCCGGAUGACAUAGAAAGGCUAUCUGCCAUGUAAUGUCUCUAAGCCUUUUGACAUUUUCCAUAAGGAUGGUAAGAAGUAAGAACUCCUUGCUUCCAGUGCUGCUCUCAUAUCAUAACUGAGGGCCAGGUUCAGCUACGGCCACUGCCAGCACCCAGCAGUGGACAGUUAUGGACAGUUACUGUAUUGGGGCCAUCAGUGACACCUGCCCUCAGUCCACCUUUAAAGUAUUUCCCCUGUCCUCUAAGCCACACCAGGUAGGUAGGUCAAGUCACUAUUUCAAUUUCCCCACAAUACCCCUGGCAUAGAGUUGUUUAGGGAAUUGUGGAAAAUCUAAAUGCUACCUGGAGCUCCUCAGAGCCCUGUUUAUCGCUGACCACCACCUAGAAAGCCCAACAGGGCCCAGCAAUAGAGGAGGAGAACCACCUAUGGAGGAAAGAGGCCAUGAAAGGACACAUUGUCCAGGGCCCCAUCAAACCUGGAGCUGGCCCUGGGCUCAGCAAUAAGAACAUAGGGACUCUUUGUUCCACCUCCGUUCCAGCACGUAGUUCCUAGAGCAAUGACCCUGGAAAGCUUACAAGUAAGACAUGUUGGAGACAGCUAUGCACACAGUCUGCAGACAUAUAUGAGGAUUUGCGUCCUGGAAGCAUCCCUAUAUCAGUAUAAAGAUGGUUCAAAUGACCUCCCUAUCAAUGAUAAAUCUAAACCUUGGAAUGGUUCCACACACUUUAUUCAUCUAAAGAGAAAACUUUUUUUUUUAAAAAAAAAAACCCUAACAUAUUUGGACAGCCAACAUAAUCCGGACAGUGUGGAUGUGCUGAGAAUCAGCUCAGCCACAUGACCAGGAACACUGUUAAGGUAAGUCUAGAUAUUGAUGUAGAAACCAGAAAGUGGUGACAUCAUUGCCACUUUCCACAAGAGUGAAACCACAGCUCUGAUUGUUCAGCUGCAGUCAGCGACAGCCAUCCUUCUCCACUGACUCCGUUGUCAUCAUGCAGCAGAAAUGUAAAGGAAGCGGGGCAGUCAUGCUAACCUGGUGGGCAUGCUUUCACCUCAGGCCCUGCACUAAGGAGAACCCCUGCCUUGCUUCAUCAAGGGAGAACUGGUGUUGUAAAUGUUUCCUGAGGUUACUGAGAGGGCAACGGUUGUGUCAUCACAACCACGUGAUUCCUGACCUUCUCGUACUUUAACUGAGGCCCAACUUCUGACGGUUAUUCUGUGGUUUUUGUGGCUUUGCUCAGACAUUGCCAUGACAGUGAACGUGAAGCUGGACGCAAACAGGAUAUGACGCUGCUGUUUUCAUAUGUUCACAUUCCUCAUCCUGCGGUAUCUUGGUCCAUGGGCCUGGGUUCCUCAUGUGAGGGGACUGGGGAAGCCGUCUGAAAUGAAACCAGACAUAUGGAGCAAAACAAGUACACUGCAUAACACGGUUACUGACACCACAAUGUGAACAUUGUGUAUGUCACCCAAAGGGAGAAAGUCAGCCAGAGGGCGCUGGAAAUAAUGUCUCACCACAGUCUCUUGAGGGGUUGAGGGUGGAGGUUAAGAAAUGUGUUCGUCAACUUCCUCACUCACAUAUAAAACAGAGCUAGUGAUAGGGAUGUUAUCUUGCUUACAAUUGGCACUGCAUUUUUUUAUCUCAAGAAAUACCCUGGAGUGACUCUGGAGGUCCCUCGAGGAAUGGGAAAGCCAAACAUUUUACUGAAAUUGGGUAAUUUCUCAGGAGGGUUUCAUACAUCUGAUAGCCUUUUGCAUUCCUGGUUUUGCUGAGAGAAUAAGAUGGAUCUACGAAAAAAGACAAAUAUCAUUUUCAUGCUGUAACCUCAGGAAAUCAGCCAUGUAAACUGCAGACACCAGUGCUGGACUCUUAUCAGCUGUGUGGAAAACUUAUGGGGAGUAACGUGAGUUGAUGCUUCACCACAAGUUGGCAGUGAAACUGCACCCCUAAUACUUGCAAGUAAUCUGGCUGAGUCCUUAGAGCAGGAGAAGCCAAAAUGGCACCCUCUAGAUGUGUUGGACUCCAGCUACCAUUAACCCUAGCCAGCAUAGCCAGUGGUCAGGGAUUAUGGGAGUUGUAGUCCAACAACAUCCGGAGAGCACUAACUUGGCUAUCCCUGAGUUAGAGAAACCAAUAUGGUGCCUAUGGAUGACUAUAUGGAAUAUCCUUUCUUCAAAGGGUGAGGCAAACCUCAAACUGCAGACUGUUCAUGUCCAGGCAUGACUACGCUCCCUGGAUCAACUGUCUGCAUGGAAUUCGCCCUGUUCUGUGUAUUUUGCUGCCAGUUUUCAGACCUACCCUUCGCACACUCCCUAAAGACAGUUACAUGGCUUUGUUCAGCUUUUGCUCACCAAUGGGUGUAUGCGAAGGUUGCCAUGUCUCAUCAAGUGUCGAGAUAAAUCAUCUGAAGCCUCUAUUUCUCCCACAGAUAAAUGGAGAUCAGGAAUAAACACAUGGGAAUAGGAGCCUUAGCAAGGUAGAGGUUGCCAAGUCAGCCUGCCACAUUUCUAAGCCCCCUCAGAAUAACAUGCAGGAAGCAUUUUAGGUUAUGGUGUGCCAGCCACACCUGCUACUGUUCAGGUUUACAGUAUGAGGAAUAUACAGGU